rnacentral:Y_RNA from 1 species
GGCUGAUCUGAAGGUAGUGAGUUAUCUCACUUUAUUGUUCACAGUUACAGAUUGAGCUCCUUGUUCUACUACUUUCCCCACUUCUCACUAUGGUACUUGACUGGUCUUUA